rnacentral:rRNA from 1 species
UACGUAGGGGGCAAGCGUUGUCCGGAAUCAUUGGGCGUAAAGCGCGUGUAGGCGGCCAGGUAAGUCCGUUCUGAAAGCCCGGGGCUCAACCCCGGGAGGCGGAUGGAUACUGCUUGGCUCGAGUCCGGAAGAGGCGAGUGGAAUUCCUGGUGUAGCGGUGAAAUGCGCAGAUAUCAGGAGGAACACCAAUUGCGAAGGCAGCUCGCUGGGACGUUACUGACGCUGAGACGCGAAAGCGUGGGGAGCAAACAGG